AGAGUUUGAUCCUGGCUCAGGACGAACGCUGGCGGCGUGCCUAACACAUGCAAGUCGAGCGGAGACAGUGAGUAGCUUGCUAUGAGCUGUUUUAGCGGCGGACGGGUGAGAACGCGUGAGCAACCUUUCCCAGACAGGGGAAUAACACACCGAAAGGUGUACUAAUACCGCAUAAGACCACGGGAUCACAUGGUUCUGGGGGUAAAAAGAUUUAUCGGUUUGGGGUGGCUCGCGUCCGAUUAGGUAGUUGGUGAGGUAACCGG
rnacentral:rRNA from 1 species